CCCAAAGUAACGUUUUGCGAAGAUUUCUCUGAGGGCAAGAUAAGUACGCCCGUCCUGCAGGCGCUGAACAGCCGACAUCGCGAUGUCAUUUUGGGUAUAUUGAAAAUGCGGACCCGCGACAUUAAUACCAAGAAGUAUCUGCUGUCGUUGCUGGAGAAGGGCGGCGGUAUACAGAAGACCAGGGAGCUGCUGCACCAGUGGGAAACUGAAAUGUUCACUGAGAUUGAGCGUCUCGGCGGCAACCCGAUGUUAGUGGAUUUAAUUCGUGAUCUACAAACUUGGGAUGAACGUACUAUGUAGGUUGAAGUAUGCU